UACGUAGGUGACCAGCGUUGUCCGGAUUUACUGGGCGUGAAGAGCGCGCAGGCGGUCGUUCAAGUCGAGUGUGAAAGCCCCCGGCUCAACUGGGGAGGGUCACUCGAUACUGAUCGACUUGAAGGCAGGAGAGGGAAGCGGAAUUCCCGGUGUAGUGGUGAAAUGCGUAGAUAUCGGGAGGAACACCCGUGGCGAAGGCGGUCUCCUGGGGUCCUCUUGACGCUGAGGCGCGAAAGCUGGGGGAGCGAACGGG
rnacentral:rRNA from 1 species